ensembl:scaRNA
AGAGCUCUGAUGAUGAGGCCACUGAGCAGCCUGAGUUCUGGGAAACAGGUGAUGGAGUGUGCUGUGAACACUGAGGCCA